AUUGAACGCUGGCGGCAGGCCUAACACAUGCAAGUCGAGCGAGCGGCGGACGGGUGAGUAAUGUAUGGGAACCUGCCUGAUGGCGGGGGAUAACUACUGGAAACGGUAGCUAAUACCGCAUACCAUCAGAUGAACCCAUAUGGGAUUAGCUAGUGGGUGGGGUAACGGCUCACCAGGGCGCCGAUCCCUAGCUGGUCUGAGAGGAUGAUCAGCCACACUGGGACUGAGAUACGGCCCAGACUCCUACGGGAGGCAGCAGUGGGGAAUAUUGGACAAUGGGCGCAAGCCUGAUGCAGCCAUGCCGCGUGUAUGAAGAAGGCCUUCGGGUUGUAAAUUACUUUCAGUCGGGAGGCGUUACCGACAGAAGAAGCACCGGCUAACUCCGUGCCAGCAGCCGCGGUAAUAC
rnacentral:rRNA from 1 species